UACGGAGGGUGCAAGCGUUAAUCGGAAUUACUGGGCGUAAAGCGCACGCAGGCGGUCUGUCAAGUCGGAUGUGAAAUCCCCGGGCUCAACCUGGGAACUGCAUUCGAAACUGGCAGGCUAGAGUCUUGUAGAGGGGGGUAGAAUUCCAGGUGUAGCGGUGAAAUGCGUAGAGAUCGGGAGGAACACCAGUGGCGAAAGCGGCCCCCUGGCCUGUAUCUGACGCUGAAGCGCGAAAGCGUGGGGAGCAAACGGG
rnacentral:rRNA from 1 species